UACGGAGGGUCCAAGCGUUAUCCGGAAUCAUUGGGUUUAAAGGGUCCGUAGGCGGUUUUGUAAGUCAGUGGUGAAAGCCCCUCGCUCAACGGUGGAACGGCCAUUGAUACUGCAAGACUUGAAUUAUUAGGAAGUAACUAGAAUAUGUAGUGUAGCGGUGAAAUGCUUAGAGAUUACAUGGAAUACCAAUUGCGAAGGCAGGUUACUACUAAUGGAUUGACGCUGAGGCGCGAAAGCUGGGGGAGCGAACGGG
rnacentral:rRNA from 1 species